rnacentral:misc_RNA from 1 species
GAUGAAGAACGUAGCGAAAUGCGAUAAGUAGUGUGAAUUGCAGAAUUCAGUGAAUCAUCGAAUCUUUGAACGCACAUUGCGCCCCUUGGUAUCCCGAGGGGCAUGCCUGUUCGAGCGUCAUUUCACCACUCAAGCCUGGCUUGGUGUUGGGCGACGUCCCCUUUGGGGACGCGCCUCGAACGCUCGGCGGCGUGGCACCGGCUUUAAGCGUAGCAGAAUCUUUCGCUUUGGAAGUCGGGGCCCCGUCUGCCGGAAGACCUACUCGCAAGGUUGACCUCGGAUCAGGCAGGGAUACCCGCUGAACUUAAGCAUAUCAAUAAGCGGAGGA